GGCCGGCUGCUCGCUCCUGGGCCGCGCCCGGCGGGGGGUUUCCUGUGUGAGUCACCGGACUGGGAGCCGCGCAGGGAAACACCCUUCCUGCGACCCAGCCCCUCCUCCCGCCGCCCGUCCCAAGCCUGCCGCCCCUUCCCUUCCUUCCCGCCCGGGCCGGCCCCUCCUCUCUCCCUGCCCGCCGGCGUCUCGCUCCGACAACGGCGGCUUGUUUCGUUGGUAUACGAAAGGCCGUGCUCCCGUCCGAGCGGUACUGCGAAUGUGCGAGGGGACAGCGGUGCUGGGGCACCCCGGUGACAUUCGUCUGCGUAGAAAACUAACGUGGUUUCUUUCCUUCCCUCCGCCUCUCCGGCAGGACGGUGGUGCUCGUGUAUGGCUUUUUUCGUAGCUGAAGCGCUGCUGUUAAUUGAAACCGAGCCAAACCAAGAGUGUCUAUUUUCCCACCUUUGAUUUUUCUAUAACAGCGAGCACGUAAGUACUUCCUCCAUUUAAUAUGUGCCUACUUUCUUCGGUGUUCUCCUGUUUGCAGUUCUGCUUUCCUUCUAUUUCUCAUUCCUCAUCAGAUGAACGUGGAAGCAUUAUCACAAUGUGAAACUACUGCUGCUUCUUCCUUAAAGGUUGUCAGAAUCGCUGUGAGCGACGGUAGGCUGGGUAAACAAACAUGCUAUACGUAGGGGUUAUUGCCAGCUUACAGCUUGGAAAGUUCCAGACCAUCUUGGUAUUUCCCCAAAGGCUGCUUGCUUAUAAUUGGACCCAAAGUUGUACCCAACAUUUUUCACUACUGAAAUCCUCUGCAGUCAUUAGCAAAUGAGGCAGUAUUGCUGUAGCAAGCAACUUUCUGCCUUUGCUUUCAACAGCUGAUGGUUUGGGUUUGCUGAGAACAGAACAAUUAUUCCUUCACUUGGUGUCUUUUUUUUUUUUUCCAAGUGAGUUUCCAUUCUACUAAGCUUCCUUAAAUAACCUUCUUGUAACAUCCUUUGGAAAGUGGGAAUAAGUUGCAAAGCCCAUUAUUCUCAGUACUUCAUUUACUGUCUUGUCGAAUUAUUCCACCCGUUCCACAUCAUCAAGAAUUCCGACAGUUCGUGGAGAAAUUCUGCAUCAUUUCAGAAUGUUACCAUUUCAGCAUGUUCCUGGCAUAUCUUCAGUUAUUUUUCCAGUGCUGUACCCAGAGCUGCAAUCUAGUGCUGGUCUAUUAAAGUUUAUUUUCUAGGAUGUGGCUACUUGCUCUUCUCUGAUAGGAUAUUUCCAAAAUAUAUGUUGAGUGCAUACGUUAUAGAAUUGUUUGCAUUAGAGGGGAGCUUUAAAAGCCAUCUAGUUCAACUCCUCUAUGAAGAACAGGAACACCUAUAGCUACAUCAGGUUGCUCAGAGCCCCAUCCAGCCUGACCUUGAAUGUCUCCAGGGACAGGGCAUCCAGCAUAUCUCUGUGCAACCUGUUUGUAUUGAUGGAAUGAAUUUCCAUCACAGCCCAUGAUCCCUAGACUUCUUAGCUCAGUGAAAACUGCAGAAGACAACCAGAGCCAGAUGCUUCUGUUUCUAGCCGAUACUGCUCAAUGCAAACUAUCAUACACUUCAUCAUAAACCUAGUGCAGUGAGGUCAUUAAAUUAAAAAAAAAAACAAAAACUCACCUUCAUAAUGAAGGAUUGGUUUCAUUUCCUUGUCCCGAGUGAGCAUAGAGUUGACAACAGCCCUGUCUUAGUGCAGCACUCAGCCUGCAUCAGCAUUGAGACCUCAGUUUCCAAGCCACAAGUGAAGCAAGGGAGACUUGAAACAUGCUGUGUCUGCAAGCACUAGACAGGGAACUUACUAAAAACUCCCAGUGAGAUCUGAUCUACAGCAUUUUGCCUCCAGCUGGGUGAUACGACUUCCCAGGAGCACAGCUCCCACAUGUGCUAAAAGUCGCCCUGUGCCAGGAGUGGCUGCUUCACCUUAUCCUAAGGAUUGGCUGACAUCCCAUGCUCCUUUUGAAGUAUUUGAGUGACUGUGUAUUUCCCCACAGGUGGAGCAAUCUGCUCUUCACUGACAUUCCAUACUCAAAUUUAUACCAACCCAUGAAGUCAGAUAAAAAAUACUGAUAAUUGAUUAUAUGCAGCUUUUUUUAUCUAUCAAGAUAUUUUCUACUUUUUUUGUAUACUGGAAUCAUAGAAUGGCCUGGGUUGAAAAAGACCACAAUGAUCAUCUAGUUUCAACCCCCCUGCUAUGCGCAGGGUCGCCAACCACCAGACCAGGCUGCCCAGAGGAAUAAGAGGACGAUCCCAUUUCACCAUCUGAAUGUCUACACUCUCAUGUAUCAUGAGGCAUACUUAUCAGUAGUACAUUCUGGAAUGCCCCCAUGACUCCUUGCUUUCCAUUUUUGUGCAAUUUAAGUACUGCAAUGACUGUACUUGAUAAAAGGUUUCAGUGGAUCUUCAUAACCAGCUUCUCCUUUUACUGUAUCAUCCCUCUUAUUCUUGCACUAGUGAAUACAGACCUUCUGGCCUGGCUAAAGUUAUACAUAUCUACAUGUACCUGAUCAUUACCUGAUGUCCUACCCACUAGAAGGUAGUUGUGGCCUUUAUGAUGCUAAUGGCUAGAAUUAGAAUCUCAAACAGACCUUUCUUGGGUGGUAUUUAUUUAAACUCAGUAUUUAACCUGUCACCAUUAUCUUUACUGAUAUCUAUAACACCAAUGUGUUAUGUUCCUGACAGUUUCUGUUUCUUACAUCUGCAUCAGAUGAACACCAGAUAGUAAGACAGCACAAGCUUAACCCAAUUCCCUGCAGAUCAGAUAAAGACUUUUUUCAAAACUCUAUGCUUGCUAUGCAGAUACCCACAGAUGCCCAAAAGACUACUUCCUGAAUUCCAGCUGGUUUUGUUCUAUUUUGAAUUCCUUUCUUUCAGCUGCACAAUAUUUAUCCAAGCUCUAUGAAUGAAAACUAUCUGCAGAAGCCCAAAUUAUUUCCAUGUCAUUCCACGUGGAAGAAGAGGUCUUGCUUAGCUUAUGCGUUUCUAAGAUGCUUAUGUACUCCAGUUUUACACCUUUCCACCCACGUAUCUUAGUGAUUAAGCUUAAUAACACAUGCCUACCUCUCAGUUUAAUUUUUACCUGCUGAGUCCAUACACUGAUCUUUUUAUCCUCACAAAGGAGAUAAUACAACACAGGAACGUGCUAUGAUCUGUCAUGAUCCAACACAGAGAGGUUGUUAUGAAGCUAUCACGAACAAUGGCCAUAAGGAUACCCAGAACAGGACAACGUGCAAAACUACAAAGAAAGAAAAGUGAUAAUUGUCUCUAAAUUAGUUAAUAAAUAAACCUACAUCUGCA
rnacentral:lncRNA from 1 species